rnacentral:rRNA from 1 species
UGUAGUCUCGCACAGAUGCAUAUCAAUAAGCGGAGGAAAAGAAACUAACAAGGAUUCCCUCAGUAACGGCGAGUGAAGCGGGAAGAGCUCAAAUUUGAAAUCUUGAAAGGUCACCUUUCACGAAUUGUAGUUUAAAGAAGUGUUUUCUGUUACGAUCGUAAUAUAAGUUCUUUGGAAUAGGACAUCAUAGAGGGUGAGAAUCCCGUAUAUUGACCAUUGGAUUUGUCAGCUGUGUGAUACACUUUCAAAGAGUCGGGUUGUUUGGGAAUGCAGUCCCAAAAUGGGAUGGUAAAUUUCAUCUAAGGCUAAAUAUUGGCGAGAGACCGAUAGCGAACAAGUACCGUGAGGGAAAGAUGAAAAGAACUUUGAAAAGAGAGUUAAACAGUACGUGAAAUUGUCAAAAGGGAAGCGUUUAACACCAGUGUUGUUUUCUGAAAAUCAACCUCUGUUAGCUUUAUGCAUGUUUGUUUAGACCUAAUCAGCUAUCUUGCAUGUUCUAUUGUUUGCAGUGGUGCACUUUUCAGUUUACAGGUCAACAUCAGUUUUUUUUACCGUAAAAAAGUUAAAGAAAGGUAGCUCAUGGCUCCGGUCAUGAGUGUUAUAGUCUUUUUCCUAUGCGGUAGGAGAGACUGAGGUCUGCAGUGUAGGCUAUUUGGCUAGAUACUCAGGUGCUAUGUGAUACCAUUUCAUAAACAACUUGUUGAUUAUGUUUUGUCUAUUGCAUACUCGCUUGUACUAUCAUACCUACGCUUAGGAUGUUGAAGAUGUAGCACAUCAU